rfam:Candidatus Gottesmanbacteria bacterium RIFCSPHIGHO2_01_FTLL_39_10 rifcsphigho2_01_scaffold_1131, whole genome shotgun sequence.
GCCGCCAUCGUCUAGCGGCCCAGGACGGUACCUUCUCAAGGUACAAAUCGGGGGUUCGAAUCCCCCUGGCGGUA